GCAGCGUAAUGCCUUUAUCACUAUGGCCCUGGGGAGUUUGACCCCAAGGUUGUAACUCAAAGGAAAUGAAGGGGACCCCCCCAGCGGAGGAGCAUGUGGUUUUAAAUUGGAGCAACGAGAAGAACCUUACCAAAUCUUGACAUCCUUAGUUAACUCGAGAGAUAGAGCCUUCCCCUUUGGGGGACAAAAUGACAGGUGGUGCAUGGUUUUUGUCAGCACGUGUCAUGAGAAGUUGGGGUAAGUCCCGCAACGACAGCAACCAUUUAGGUUAGUUGCCAUCAUUAAGUUGGGCACUCUAAGUUGACUGCCGGUGACAAACCGGAGGAAGGUGGGGAUGACGUCAAAUCAUCAUGCCCCUUAUGAUCUGGGCUACACACGUGCUACAAUGGACAAUACAAAGGGCAGCGAAAUCGCGAGGUCAAGCAAAUCCCAUAAAGUUGUUCUCAGUUCGGAUUGUAGUCUGCAACUCGACUACAUGAAGCUGGAAUCGCUAGUAAUCGUAGAUCAGCAUGCUACGGUGAAUACGUUCCCGGGUCUUGUACACCCCGCCCGUCACCCCCCGAGAGUUUGUAACACCAAGAAAGCCGGUGGAGUAACCAUCUGGAGCUAGCCGUACGAACUUGGAUCCAAGUGGUU
rnacentral:rRNA from 1 species